rnacentral:rRNA from 1 species
UGGGGAAUUUUGGACAAUGGGCGCAAGCCUGAUCCAGCAAUGCCGCGUGUGUGAAGAAGGCCUUCGGGUUGUAAAGCACUUUUGUCCGGAAAGAAAACUUCCUGGUUAAUACCUGGGGAGGAUGACGGUACCGGAAGAAUAAGCACCGGCUAACUACGUGCCAGCAGCCGCGGUAAUACGUAGGGUGCGAGCGUUAAUCGGAAUUACUGGGCGUAAAGCGUGCGCAGGCGGUCUGUUAAGACAGAUGUGAAAUCCCCGGGCUUAACCUGGGAACUGCAUUUGUGACUGGCAGGCUAGAGUAUGGCAGAGGGGGGUAGAAUUCCACGUGUAGCAGUGAAAUGCGUAGAGAUGUGGAGGAAUACCGAUGGCGAAGGCAGCCCCCUGGGCCAAUACUGACGCUCAUGCACGAAAGCGUGGGGAGCAAACA